rnacentral:rRNA from 1 species
GCUAUGUAUGGACGGGAUAAGUGCUGAAAGCAUCUAAGCAUGAAGCCCCCCUCGAGAUGAGAUUUCCCAACUUCGGUUAUAAGAUUCCUCAAAGAUGAUGAGGUGAAUAGGUUCGAGGUGGAAGCGUAGCGAUACGUGGAGCUGACGAAUACUAAUCGAUCGAAGACUUAAUCAAU